UCCCUGGUGGCUCAGACGGUAAAGAAUCUGCCUGCAAUGCAGGAGACUCAGGUUCAAUCCCUGGGUUGGGAA
rnacentral:tRNA from 1 species